rnacentral:rRNA from 1 species
GAUGGAAGAUGGCGAGAAAAGCUGUGUGUAUUUCUGAGGUGCCCGUACCGCAAACCGACACAGGUAGGUAGGAAGAAGAUUCUAAGGCCAACGGGAGAAGGGUUGUUAAGGAACUCGGCAAAUUGACCCCGUAACUUCGGGAGAAGGGGUGCUCCAGAGAUGGAGCCGCAGAGAAUCGGCCCAAGCAACUGUUUACCAAAAACACAGGUUUGUGCUAAAUCGAAAGAUGACGUAUACGAGCUGACGCCUGCCCGGUGCUGGAAGGUUAAGAGGAGAUGUGCAAGCAUUGAAUCGAAGCCCCAGUGAACGGCGGCCGUAACUAUAACGGUCCUAAGGUAGCGAAAUUCCUUGUCAGGUAAGUUCUGACCCGCAUGAAAGGCGUAAUGAUUUGGGCACUGUCUCAACAGCCCGCCCGGCGAAAUUGUAGUACCGGUGAAGAUGCCGGUUACCCGCGACAAGACGGAAAGACCCCAUGGAGCUUUACUGUAGCCUAAUAUUGGGUUUCGAUGUUGCAUGCACAGGAUAGAUGGGACACAGGGAAACAAUCGCUUUGGCGGUUGCGGAGUGGCCGUUGGGAUACCAUCCUUGCGAUAUUGGAAUUCUAACCUGCGGCUCUGAAUCGAGUCGGGGGACAUUGUUAGGUGGGCAGUUUGACUGGGGCGGUCGCCUCCUAAAAAGUAACGGAGGCGUUCAAAGGUUCGCUCAGCUUGAACGGAAAUCAAGCAAAAGAGUGCAAACGCAGAAGCGAGCCUAACUGCGAGACUGACGGGUCGAGCAGUAACGAAAGUUGGAGUUAGUGAUCCGGUGGUAUGUGAGUGGAAAUGCCAUCGCUCAACGGAUAAAAGUUACCCUGGGGAUAACAGGCUGAUCUCCCCCAAGAGUCCACAUCGACGGGGAGGUUUGGCACCUCGAUGUCGGCUCAUCGCAUCCUGGGGCUGUAUUCGGUCCCAAGGGUUUGGCUGUUCGCCAAUUAAAGCGGUACGCGAGCUGGGUUCAGAACGUCGUGAGACAGUUCGGUCCCUAUCUGUCGUGGGCGCAGGAUAUUUGAUGGGAGCUGUCCCUAGUACGAGAGGACCGGGACGGACGUACCUCUGGCGCACCAGUUGUUCCGCCAGGAGCAUAGCUGGGCAACUACGUACGGAUCGGAUAAACGCUGAAAGCAUCUAAGCGUGAAGCCGACCCAAAGAUAAGAUAUCCCACUGAUUUGAUCAGGUAAGACCCCUUGAAGACUACAAGGUCGAUAGGCACGAUGUGUAAGUGGAGUGAUCCAUUCAGCAAGCGUGUACUAAUAGGUCGAGGGCUUGACCAC